GCUCCCAGAACAAGCUCACAGCCGGGGCCUCGUGACAGGAGGCUUACUAUAUGUAUAUAUUUAUAAAUUCAGUUUUUUUGUUAGUGUCAGAAUGAAAAGUAGAAUGAAAGGAUCACCGAAGUGAGAGGACACAGCCACAUCUGGGAGACCUUCAGUGCAUUCUGGGAUCUGGAGAAAAUACACACACGGGCCUACUUGCUCCUCUGUGGGAGCAGCUGAGCUCUUAGCCCCUCAGCUCCUGGCCUACUUCUGAAGCAAUGUUUGACAAAGGGCGAGUCUCUCCCUCAACAAAAGACAGGGAAUUAGAGAGGCUCUUGCAUGGUGAGAAGGCCACACGCAAAGCUAGAUGCUGCCCAGUCCACAUUCCCUGUCAGACAGAUCCAAUCCAAGAUCAUAUUUCCCUGCAAAGAAAAUAAAUCUGCUUACCAGCCGA